rnacentral:rRNA from 1 species
UACGAAGGGGGCUAGCGUUGCUCGGAAUCACUGGGCGUAAAGCGCACGUAGGCGGCUUUUUAAGUCAGGGGUGAAAUCCUGGAGCUCAACUCCAGAACUGCCUUUGAUACUGAGAAGCUUGAGUCCGGGAGAGGUGAGUGGAACUGCGAGUGUAGAGGUGAAAUUCGUAGAUAUUCGCAAGAACACCAGUGGCGAAGGCGGCUCACUGGGACGGUAUUGACGCUAAGGCGCGAAAGCGUGGGGAGCAAACAGG